UACGUAGGGUGCGAGCGUUGUCCGGAAUUAUUGGGCGUAAAGGGCUCGUAGGCGGUCUGUCGCGUCGGGAGUGAAAACUCAGGGCUUAACCCUGAGCCUGCUUCCGAUACGGGCAGACUAGAGGUAUGCAGGGGAGAACGGAAUUCCUGGUGUAGCGGUGAAAUGCGCAGAUAUCAGGAGGAACACCGGUGGCGAAGGCGGCGAUCUGGGUCGAUACUGACGCUGAGGUGUGAAAGCGUGGGGAGCAAACAGG
rnacentral:rRNA from 1 species